ensembl:lncRNA
GGCGAUUCCAUGCGUUUACUCUGUACAAUCCUGCACGGUCUUUUCCGUGGCCAUUUAUUUCUUAGUACGAUACGAUACAAGUAUGAUACAGACCUCCUCCGGUGACAAGAUAUUUUUGCUACAAAAUUAUUUUCAUAGAACAUAAGAAUAUUUUCACAAGAUUGUCGCACAUGACUUCUCCCACUGCUUGGCAGACCUCAACACUGACCAGGAGCAAGAAUGCCAAAGAGGCUGACAACAUAUCAAACUCAGGUUAUCAUCCUCCUCAACAGCCUCAGGAGGAGGAAGAUCAUCUUCCUUCCAACACAUCUCAACCACACCUCUCUACUAAAAAAAAGGGAAGGCAAGGAGGCUGCUCUUAAAGCCAAUCCACAACAUUGGUUGUGAGAGCAAAAACAAACCACCAGAAUGGCAUUAGUAGUGGCAAGUGACACACAAGGGACAACAGGGUCGGAUAUGAAGUAACAUUAUACUAAUUUUGAAGUUUGUUCUUUAAGUCACUAGCCAUCCAGAUCCAAGUUUCAGACCAGAUCACAGACCAGACCAGAUCACAGGCCAGACCACCAUCUGAAAGGAAUUAACUUAAAUCGACAUGGUGAUUAACCUACCAGAACACAGGUGCGGACAAUGAACAUACACAUGCCACGAUCCAGGGCUGCUUGGAAACCAGAGCAUGGCACCUGGACCGUGGUACAGCUUGACCACUAUUUUCAUAUCUUCUAUUUGUAUCCCAACAGCUAGUUGGAGGCCAGGAGUGGAGGUCCAACCUACAACUUCAAGUCAAAUGGAAUAAAGUAACACUCUUGGAAGUAGGUAGAAUGAUUAUAACACAAAACAAUAGUCCUGAAGUCCUGUUAUACUUUCAAUGUUACUCAGCUCUGUCCUUGUCUCUUCUAGCUCCAAAUCCUUGUUUUCAGAGCAACGUUUCCCACAAAACUCUGCAAGUACUUGUUGUUUAACAUUAUAAAUAAAAUGAUUGGAGGGUCCCUUGGAACUACUUUUAAAGACUUCACACCUACUUCAAACACCUGAUUCAACUAAAAUGUUAUAGUAUGACAAUGAAUGUGCAGUUUUAAUGCUUUGUUUGCAUUUCAGACCUCAAAGUUGUCCUCAACCGAGGACAGACUGUUAAGCCAAUCGUGUGGUGUGUGUUUGAGAAUGUCUGCACACCAGACUUUGCAACCCAACUGAACUGGCGCAGGAGGGGGCAGAAGACUCAUCCGAUCAAUGACACUGAAGGACGCUAUUAUGUAGAGGUUGACCGAUUCAUCGGUUAUGCCGAUAAAUCGGCACCGAUAGUUGAUUGAUGGAACUAUCGUUAUCGGCAAAAAUCCAUACCAAUUGUUUUUCCUGGUUGCGUCCGUUGCUGGAGCGGCUGAAAAGAGUGCAAUGUCAUUUAUUACACAGUAUGCGAGAGCUGAGAAGGGUCUGCUGGCAUCAUGCAUUACAAUAGCGGCCUCUAGAGGCAAAAUAAAAACUAUCACUGAUGACUCCUGCCUCCUAUUUCGACAUGUGUUACUGCGCGCUGCACGGAGAGCACAUGCUGUGCGGAGAAGGCUGACAUCAGAUGCGCGUUUAAAGCAUGGACAGCAAAAAGGUAUGUAUACAAUACAUUUUUUGUCAUAUCAUUAUAGAGUUAUUAUUUGUUGAAUAUUGGUUGAAUAGAUGCUGCAUUAGUAGAGAAAGAACAGCACAACAGUAUGUUUGUUUGCUUUCGAGGCUGAGAUGACACUAAACAGUAGGCUAACUUACCUCAAGCGGUUAAAACACUGACAAAAAUAAACGCAAGUCCGACCCAAAUGUUUAUGUCAUAAUUGUUGCCAUCUAUUUGCAUUAGUUUAUAUCCAGCUGGUCACUUUUAUCAGCCGACAUAUAAACGAAUCAAAUCAUCGAUUUUGGUUCUUUUUUCAUCAUCACUGUAAUAUAUAUUUUGUUAUUUUGAUUAGAUAAUCAUCAGGUGUUAUAAAAUAGAAGCAAAAGUGUGAGAAAUGUAAUAUUUAUGUCAUUUCAAUGCUCUGGCAUUGUAGAUGUUAAUGUUUAAUGUCACAAUUGUUACGAUCUAUUUGCAUCAGUUUAUAGCUGGUCACUUAUCAGCCGGCUGCCGACAUAUAAACAAAUCAGAAACGCAUUCGAUUUCGGUUCUUGUUUCAUCAUCACUGUAAUACAUAUUUUGUUAUUUUGAUUAGAUAAUCUUCAAGUGAUAUAAAAUAGAAGCAAAAGUGUGAGACGUAAUAUUUAUGUAAUUUCAAUGCUCUGGGGUUGUAGAUAUUUAAAGUUGGCCAUCUUUAAGCAUGACUGUUUGGAUUUAUAUGAAAUGAUAACCCAAUAAAAUUCCAUAUGUAACAUUAACUAAGGUUAAUAACUGUGUAUAAAUAUUGUUCAACUUCAUUGUUUGUUUGUUAAUUAACAUGUAGC